rnacentral:rRNA from 1 species
ACUGCAAGUCGAAGCGUUUCCUUAUUGAUUUUAGGUGCUUGCAUUUAAAUGAUUUAACACGAAACGAGUGGCGAACUGGUGAGUAACACGUGGGUAACCUGCCCUUGAAGUAGGGGAUAACACUUGGAAACAGGUGCUAAUACCGUAUAACAACCAAAACCACAUGGUUUUGGUUUAAAAGAUGGCUUCGGCUAUCACUUUAGGAUGGACCCGCGGCGUAUUAGCUUGUUGGUAAGGUAAUGGCCUACCAAGGCAAUGAUACGUAGCCGACCUGAGAGGGUAAUCGGCCACAUUGGGACUGAGACACGGCCCAAACUCCUACGGGAGGCAGCAGUAGGGAAUCUUCCACAAUGGACGAAAGUCUGAUGGAGCAACGCCGCGUGAGUGAUGAAGGGUUUCGGCUCGUAAAACUCUGUUGUUGGAGAAGAACAGGUGUCAGAGUAACUGUUGACAUCUUGACGGUAUCCAACCAGAAAGCCACGGCUAACUACGUGCCAGCAGCCGCGGUAAUACGUAGGUGGCAAGCGUUGUCCGGAUUUAUUGGGCGUAAAGCGAGCGCAGGCGGUUUCUUAGGUCUGAUGUGAAAGCCUUCGGCUUAACCGGAGAAGUGCAUCGGAAACCAGGAGACUUGAGUGCAGAAGAGGACAGUGGAACUCCAUGUGUAGCGGUGAAAUGCGUAGAUAUAUGGAAGAACACCAGUGGCGAAGGCGGCUGUCUGGUCUGUAACUGACGCUGAGGCUCGAAAGCAUGGGUAGCGAACAGGAUUAGAUACCCUGGUAGUCCAUGCCGUAAACGAUGAGUGCUAAGUGUUGGAGGGUUUCCGCCCUUCAGUGCUGCAGCUAACGCAUUAAGCACUCCGCCUGGGGAGUACGACCGCAAGGUUGAAACUCAAAGGAAUUGACGGGGGCCCGCACAAGCGGUGGAGCAUGUGGUUUAAUUCGAUGCUACGCGAAGAACCUUACCAGGUCUUGACAUCUUCUGCCAACCUAAGAGAUUAGGCGUUCCCUUCGGGGACAGAAUGACAGGUGGUGCAUGGUUGUCGUCAGCUCGUGUCGUGAGAUGUUGGGUUAAGUCCCGCAACGAGCGCAACCCUUAUUGUUAGUUGCCAGCAUUCAGUUGGGCACUCUAGCAAGACUGCCGGUGACAAACCGGAGGAAGGUGGGGAUGACGUCAAAUCAUCAUGCCCCUUAUGACCUGGGCUACACACGUGCUACAAUGGACGGUACAACGAGUCGCGAAACCGCGAGGUCAAGCUAAUUCUUAAAGCCGUUCUCAGUUGGAUUGCGGCUGCAACCCUGCAUGAAGUGAAUCGCGUAAUCGUGGAGGUGAAUACGUCCCGGGCCUUGUACACACGCCCGUCACACCAUGAGAGUUUACACCCAAAGCCAGGUAACCUCGGGCGC